UUUGUCGAAUGAAUGCUCGCAACACAACGCCAACUGGAAGUCCUGUUAUCGUGACUUUAAUGUUGAAAAAAGUAUUAAAUGUUUGUAUGCGUUGCGUGGUUCUACAAAGAACAUCCAACAAGCUUUUAUUGUAGUUUAAAUUUAUACACAUUUUCACAACACCAGCCGGUUGCAUACAGCAUGUGUACCAGGACAACGUUCAUCAAAAAUAACAGCAAGGACAAUAAGAUAGAUAUACAAGGUUACGGCAUACAUAUUUUUUUUCUAUCAAUAUACAUUUUUAAAUGACACUUCAGAUUCAAUAUGGCCACAGUAGAAGCACAAUCCUUCAUCAUUUUAGACCACUUAAAAAAAAUGUAUAAAAGAUUUUAAGACAAAAUAACGAUCAGUCAUUCCAGAAUUGGAGGGCAUUUGGGCUUCAAAAUUAUUAAAAACUAAGCCUUCGUUGUUUUGAUUUUCUGCUACAUAUUCAUCCAUCAUAAUCAUAAAUUACAAAUAAUAGUUUGAGUAAGGAGUACAUGCGACCCUGUUAAUGUCGUGCAAGACCAUCACUGUAAUCACCGCGACGGGGUUGCUGACGAAUGUUAGCUUUCUCUCAGGAUAGAAGCUAACUGUUUAGCUAGCUGUUACUGCUAACCAAGAGGACAAAUUUACUGAUGUACAUAAGUCAAGGGGAAAAUAUUAGAAAAUCCGGAUGCAUGUUAGCUUUCUCUCAGGAGUAGAAGCUAACUGUUUAGCUAGCUGGUCCUGCUAACCAGGAAGACAAACGUAGUUAAAUACACGAGAAGAAAAAAAAAAGUCUUAUUUUAAUCAUACGCAUUAGGGUUGCAUGAGGGAGAGUGAGACAUUCAAUCAAGACUGUUACAAAAAUAUAAUAUAAAUAGAAGAAGGAAAUAGCUUUGCGCGAGCCGUUCUUUUGGAAAACUGACGAUACCUAAAUGUGAUCGGAAACUGCACGGUUUAAUAGUUUGUAUUUGGAUAUUUUAAAAUUUGAUGGGUGGGAUGUAAAAUGUCCUCCAAUUCUGAAAUAACCUAUAAAAAUAAUUACAAUUAGAAUUACUGGAAUAAGUGAGACACUGAGAGUAGGCUCGCUAACUCCAUUUGUCAUUUUGCAGGAGAGUGAGAGUUGUAAUAAAAUUAGGGUGUGGGAAUUGAGACAUUUUGGAAAAUAAUUUUUAAAAAUGUCAUUCAUUUCAUAAUAUUUAUACACAAUAACAAUACUUAUUCACUUGUUUAACCAAAGAUGUUCAGCACAGCAGUUGUUCAAGUCCAAAACAUCCUUCAAAGCUAUCAAUAUUUCCUGAAGGAUAACAAAUAAUGAUGUUAGCCCACACUUUGUCUCAAUGGCUCAAUUUAUGUUUAUUAAAAUAAAAAAAAAGUGGCAUAAAAAAAAAAGGUGGCACACGGAAUAUCAAAUUUUGCAGCGACGGUGAAAAAGCUGGCGAGCGCACUGCCUGGCCCUUUAAUCCAAUCAAGUGACGCACACUCGUAAUAUGAUCUGACGAUACCACUGUGGCGUUGUUUCAUUAAGCCUGUGUGCAAGGUCAAAAAACAUUGAAUUCCUCUACAGAGUCGCAUCUGUUUGCCAGGGCAAGAUGUCGUUUCUCAUGGUGACACGGCGUACCCCUCUUAAAUGGGAAAUUCUCGUGAAAGUCAUUCUAAAAUAAUGGCCCGUAGGCCCAAACCCGAUUCCCGCAAGUUGCUUUUGCCCAUCGGAAAUAAUGGAUGGCGAAAUAAACUGGUUCAGAGUCAUCUAAGGACCCUCGUUAAGUGGCAAGCGAUGUUUUUAUACAGCCGUCUAUUUUCUGAACUUCUUGUCCACAUUUUUACUGACGUUCUUUACUGUCAGACAAGUUUAAAAAGAAGUAAACACUCUUUAUACAAUUUUUAAAAAACAAAAAAAACCUGUCAUCCCUUUUACAGUGCUUCUAGAAGACGGAAUAAGUUCACCCAAUUUCCCCAAAGUAGUAGAAGAGCAUGGGUUAGGCUUGCACAUUAGGGUUUGAAAUUAAAAGGAAGUCAAAUGAUGGUUUGUAGACCAGGGUUGGAGUUUCAAAACAUGGUUGGAAGCCAAGGUUUCGACUUCUCGGUACAAGUUAGGGUUUGCAAGCCUGGUUAAAAUUUAACAUGGGGCCCGAUAAUGUUUUUUAAUUUUUUUCUUCCGGUUGAGUUCCGAUAUUUG